AAAAUUACAGAAUGAGAUCACUUUUUUUCAUCAGCUGGAAGAUGAAAGCUUGUAUGAGGCUUGGGAAAGAUUUAAGGAGUUGCUCAAGAGAUGUUCUCUUCAUGGCAU
rnacentral:snoRNA from 1 species